GCGGUUGUAGCUCAGUUGGUUAGAGUACCGGCCUGUCACGCCGGGGGUCGCGGGUUUUCGAGCCCCGUCAACCGCGCCA
rnacentral:tRNA from 1 species